UUUUUUUUUUCUUUUUUCAUUUCUGGCCGCCCUUCAGCAUAUGGAGUUCCCAGGCCAGAUAUCCAACCCGAUCCAUAGUUGCGACCUACAUGGCAGCUGCAGCAGCACUGGAUCCUUUAACCCACGGGGCCAGGCCAGGGACUGAACCUACACCCUGGCGCUGCAGAGAUGCCACCGAUCCCUUUGAGCCACAUCGGGAACUCCCGGCCACUGAUUUAAGCUGUAUCCUCACCAAGGGCUCAGGCGUGAGAGGUCAGGGGAAGGUAGUAAAAGAAGAAAUUUAUCCCAUUUCUAGCCCUCAAGCCUAGAGAUAGCAUACUGAUGUAUCUUCAGAUACACUGAUAUGCCUGUAAGAACCCAUACACAUAAGCAGUGAAGAUUUUUUUCUCCCUAUCACAAAGUUUUCUCUUAAACAUGUUUCUGCCUAAAAAUGGAUCUUGAGCAUCUUCCCACGGGGCAGCCCAUCUCUUUCUGUUCAACGGCUGCAUGAUGUUCCAGGGUGUGGAUGUUCCAGACUUUAUUUCACGAUUCCCUUAGUGACACACUUUUGAAAUGCUUGUGUCCUCGGCUUUUAUAAAUAAUGUUGACAUGAAUAGGCUUAUAUAUUCCUGUUUGUGCUAACGAGCAAAUACAUCUCUUGGUUAAAUAUCUAGAAGUAGAGGGAGUUCCCGUCGUGGCGCAGUGGAAACGAAUCCAACUAGGAGCCGUGAGGUUGCAGGAUUGAUCCCUGGCGCCGCUCAGUGGGUUAAGGAUCCUGCGUUGCCUUGAGCUGCGGUGUAGGUCGCAGACUGGGCUCAGAUCCCAAGUUGCUGUGGUUGUGGUGCACGCUGCCAGCUACAGCUCCAACUGGACCCCUAGCCUGGGAACCUCCAUAUGCUGUGGGUGCGAUCCUAAAAAGACAAAAGACAAAAAAAAAAAAAAAACUAGAAGUAGAAUUGCUGAGUAGAAACACCUAUCUUAAAAUUUAAAAUUGGACAGAUACUGUCAAGCAGCUCUGAAAAGACAUUACCAAUUUAUUUUCUCCCCAACCCUGUAUAAGGAUUUUCUUUUCUUUUCUUUUGUCUUUUUAGGGCCACAUCCAUAGCAUAUGGAGGUUCCCAGAAAACUAAAUACAGAACUACCAUAGGAUCCGGCAAUCCCAGCCUGGGCAUGUAUCUGCACAAAACUUCCAUGCAAAAAGAUACAUGCACCCCCAUGUUCACUGCAGCCAAGACAUGGAAACAACCUAAAUGUCCAUCAACAGAUGAAUGGAUUAAGAAAAUGUGGUACAGGAGUUCCUGUCGUGGCUCAGGGGAAACGAAUCUAACUAGGAUCCAUGAGGAUGCAGGUUCGAUCCCUGGCCUCGCUCAGUGGGUUAGGAUCCGGUGUUGCCAUGAGCUGUGGUGCAGGUCACAGACGCGGCUCAGAUCUGGCGUUGCUGUCAUUGUGGUGUAGGUCAGUGGCUACAGCUCCGAUUUGACCCCUAGUCUGGGGACCUCAAUGUGCUUCGGGUGUGGCCCUAAAAAGACAAAAUUUAAAAAAAAAUUGGUAGUUCCAUAACAACGAAAGAAAUUGAAUUCAUAAUCUAAAACCUUCCAAAAAAGAAAUCUCCAGCCCUAGAUGGCUUAACUAGAGCAUUCUCCCAAACACUUAAAGAACACCAAUUCUAUAUAAUCUUUUCCAGAAAAAUAGAAGAGGAGGGAAUAUUUCUCGUUUUAUCAAGCUAGCAUUUUCCCUGCUACCAAGUGAGACAAAGAUAACACGAGAGAAGAAAACUACAGACCAAUGUCUCUCAUGCCCAUGGAUAUAAAACUCCUCAACAAAACACUAACAAUUUGAAUCUAGCAACUAAAAAAAAGUGUAACAACUAUGACCAAGUGAGGCUUGCUGCCGGACGGCAAGGUUGGCUCGAUAUUCAAAAAUCAAUGUGAUCCACUAAAUUAACAAUAGAAGAAGAUCCAUUUAAUAGGAUCGAUUCAUUUAGAAGAGCAUUAGACCAAAUUCAAUAGCCAGUUAUGAUUUUUUUGAAACUCGAAGCAAACUAGAAAUAAAAGGGAACCUCCUCGAGCUGAUAAAGAGCAUCACAUACUAAUGCGUCAUUCCAUUGCUACUAAGCAGAUUUUCUUGGAGUUUUUCUUGCCUGUAUAAUCGGCUAUAAGAUCAGUCUUAAUUUCAGGUCUCAAAGGUGCAGUCUAGAAUAAAGCUAAACUUUAAUCUCACAUCCAACUAAUGCUUUAUAUGCCACCUACUCGGGAUCUGGAGGUCUGGGCUGUAGCAGACACGGCCAGGAUUUUGAUCAGAUCCCUUCAUUCUUGUCAUGCACACUAGUUUCCAAUGUGAGUUUUUUCUUAACAACCAGCACCUGCGUCUCUUUGUCAGGGGACUGCUCUCAGGCUGCUAGAAGGUGCUUCACCUGGGCACACAGGAAGCAGGAAGUAUCUUAGCAUUUACAUUCUCCCAAACCACAGACCGCCCUUAACAAGUGACUGUGGAUGCCAGGGGACCCAUACUCCGGGUCUCUCGUCCCUGAUUGAGGCAACUCUGAGAUGUGAUCCACACUGUCCCCAUUUCUGCCUGCGGACCGAGCUGGUUACAGCACCACUAUCACAGGACUUCGCUUAGCAUGGCCUAAAAACACUUCUCAAUGACGCACGUUCACAAGAACCCUCGGCUUGUGGUCAGCUUCUAUUGCGCUCCUGCUUGAUGUCCUCCUCGUCCUCAUCCUGUGCCCUCAUCCCCUUAUUUUUAUUUAUUUUUAGGGCCCACCCAAGGCAUAUGGAAACUCCCAGGCUAGGGGGUGAAUCGGAGCUGUACCUGUUGGCCUACACCACAGCCACAGCAAAGCCAGACCUGCGCCACGUCUCCAACCUACACCGCCGCUCAUGGCAACACUGGUCCCCAGCCCACUGAGCAAGGCCAAAGGAUCGAACACACUAGGCGGAUUCAUUUCCACUACGCCUCCCUAAAAACACUUUCUAAUGAAUCACUUUCACAAGGUUCCUCCUCUCAGGAUCUGCUUCUGGAGAAGCCAGAACAGAAGUUACGGGCUGUUCUGCUCCUUUCUCUUUCCUCUUCUCUGUAUCGCAGGGUCAGGGCAAGGGAGGGGAGAACGCAACCAAAAGAGGUCCAGGACCUGGUGCUGUUACAGCCGCCAAGAUGCUCUUCACAGCAGGCAUCGACACGGGCCUC
rnacentral:lncRNA from 1 species